rnacentral:lncRNA from 1 species
GCACUAAAGCAUAGUGCUAUCAACUUUUUCAUCAUUAAACUUAUCAUUAAAUUUAUCAUAGUGCUAUCCUUCCAUUAUCCUUCAAUUCAUCAUUAAAUUUAUCAAAUUUAUCCUUCAAUUACGGACCGUCCCUAGAGCAAGUGAUAAAGGGCUUGGUGGUUGGUACCCGAGACCCAAGUUCGAAUCCUAGUUGAUUCACAUUUCUAGCUAAGUUUAUUUCUAAAUGAAAUAAAUGAAGCGGGUAGCGUGCUACCUAUCUCUCUCUCAAAAAAAAAAAAAAAUUUAUCCUUCAAUUCUCAGAAGCCCCCUCAGUUCUUGAUUUUGAGCUAACAUGAUAUUAUAACUGGUCUUAAGUCUCUCAGUUCUCGUAGAUUAUGUUACCUUUUCUGUCAAUGCGCGAUGUGGACACCAACGACAACAAUAUGGUAAAAAAUAGGAGCAAUGCUGAUGGUACACCCCAAUUGGGGUGUACUAUUUACACCCCACCCAUCUAUGGAUGGGAAUAUUCUCACAUGUGACUGAUGGACAACACUCCAUGGGUGGGAUGUAUCUUGUACAUCCUGAUUGGGGUGUACAAAAGCAUUUUUCAAAAGAAAAAUGAAAAAAUGCUUCUUAUACACCCUAAUCAGGAUGUACAAGAUACAUCCCACCCAUCGAAAGGUAGGGUAUUGUCCACCAGUCACAUGUGAGAAUAUUUUCAUUUUUUUUCGCCCUCUUAUUUAUAAUGUGGAAAUUUUAGAUAAAAUAGUUAAAUCCGAAAAUUGAAAAAACUAUAGUUUCAAAACCAUGAUUUUUUCUAUUCGUCAAACAGUAUUAAUUUAACUAAAAAUUAUUUUCAAUCCAAAAUUCAACUCGGGCGAAUAAACUAGCCGUCAUGCACAUUAGAUGUGCCCUUUCUUCCCCUCACUUAUCAAACAAUAAUGAAAAAAUUAUUUAUAGACUAAAUUAUAAAAAAUCUUUCUGUAAAUUUUUAUUUUUUUAUUUUUUUCUUCCUGACUUUUCAAAAACCUAUAUUUUGUCCUAUUAAAAUUUAAAAAAUAUUUUUAAAAAUACAGAGUUAAUAAAGAGGGCAAAAUGGCAAAACCGCCCUUACUUCUUUUAUAAAAAUAAUUUCAUCAUCGUCUUAUCUGAAGACAUAAGGCGAGGCCCUAUUUUUGCAAUGGAAGAAGAGAAAGGAGAAUGUAGCGGGCGGGGAGAGGCAGGACAAGGAGAACCAUUAGGGCAUGUUUGUUUGGGUGAAAGUGGGGUGGAAGUGGAGAGAAUGGAAGUCGUUUUCACUCUAAACAAUCACUUCCGUUGUUUGGUUUGCUGUAAAAUAGUUGCGGUCGAAACUCAAGUUAACCUCAAAUGGCAUAAUUGACUUCACCUCAUCGUAUGCCGAAGUCAAUUACGGUGAAGAGAGGUAAAGAAAAAAUAAUAAAAUAAUAUUAUAGAUAAAAAUAGUUAUAUUUAAAUAUAUUUAAUUAUGUUAUUAACUUUUUUUAUUCAGUUAAUAUAUCUAAAAUAUGAUAAAAAUUGAUUAGUUAAAGUUUUAAUAUUUUCUUUAUUUAGUUUGUACAUUAAAAAUAUUAUAAAAAAUAAUUAAUUAAGUAUUAAUAUUUUUUUAUAAUUUUAUUGUUGUAUUACUAUAAUUUAUAUAUAUAAAAUAAUUUAGCUGUUUUAAAUUAAAUUUUAAUUAUAUAAAAAUAUAAUUAUAUUCUUUUUAUUUAUUAUAAUAUUUAUUAUUUAUAUAUAAAUUAUAGUUUUAUAUCAUACACUUACUACCAAACAAACAACAGAAUUAAUGCAACUUCACUUCCGUAACUACGAAACAAAAAGCAGGAAAGUAGUUUUCACCGAACUCCACUUCAACCGAAAGUCCAGUUUCAGUAAAACAAACACGCCUAAAAGUGGUGUGAAGCAGAAAGAGAAUAUUUUAUCAUUUUAAAAGUUAUUUUCAGUAUAAAUUAUAGAAAAUAAACAGAAUAGUGAUAAAAUUCUGACGGAGAAUAAGAAGAGAAAGUAAAAAAAUAAAUACUUAUAAGAAAAUUUUCUAUAACCUAGCUUAAUUUACAUCGAAAUUUUAUUUUAACUGAAAGUUAUUUUCAAUCUGAAAUUCAAUUAAAGAUCACAAUCAAACCGACGGUCAUGUGCGUUAGAUGUGCCCACUCUUAGCCUCAUUUAUUGCUUAAUCAAUUAUUGCUGAUGCGGCGCAACGCUGCUGCUGCAUUCAUGAUAGAUCAGAUCAGUGUCAGAUCUUUCUGCCUGUACUUCUCAUGUUUGAAAUCCACCUGCAAUAAGAUAAUGGGUGCUCACAGUCAAUGUUCUUAACCACCAAAAUCUCAGAUUUGGUUUUAAAGUGAGGCUCAGUUUGGUAUUACAAAAAAAAAAAAAAAUUGUGUUACAUUUAGUUAUAAAAAAAAUACAAUAAAAAAAUAUUCUAUUUAUUUUUAUAUAUCGUAUCAUACGAUAUAUUUUUUGUUGUUCCAUCGAAAAACGCAGAAACAUAUUAUAUCCACUUUUGUCCUAAUUCUGUUUCACAUAUCAAUGUUAGAUGUGUCGCAAUAUCAAAUGGCUCCUAAGUCGAGUGGAGUUCUUUAGCGACUCACUCACUUAAAAACUCAUCAUCAAAUUUUAUAGGAUAGAUUGCACAUUUGGUCCUCAAAUUGUGAGGCGGGUGACACUUUGGUCUUUAAACUUUAAUUUUGUAUAAUUUUUUACUAAUUUAGUGUCGCCUCGUUGAUAUAAAAUUAAGUGACUUAUAUAGCAUCGUAAUAUUGGCGCAUUAUCAAUCAAAACACUACUACAUCACUUCUAUAUGAACGACAUAUCAAUAUUUUAUUAAAUUGAUUGGAUUACAAGCGUUGAUUAUAAUAAGGUACGCCGCACAUACCGUGGCAAAGGCGAGAAGAGAGAGAGAGAAAGAAAGAUCGAAUUUUAUAAGAAUAAACUUAUAAAGACAAAAUAAUCAUUUUACUUGCCCACCGUUAAAAAAACUAGGGAAAACUUCAAAAACCCUCCCUGUGAUUUCGUAGUUUCUCACUUUGCCCCCUGUGGUUUAAAAUGUAUCAAUUUGCCCCCCUGUGAUUUUUUUUUUCUCUUUUUCUUAUCAAUUUCAUUAUUUUUUUUCUUAAAUCAGUGAUAAAGUUAAUUUAAAGGGUACUAAAGUGAAUAUUUGAUAAAUCUAGAUGGGUACCUGAAGUUUUUUGUAUAUAAUUUAAUGAAAUAUUAACGAAAAAGCUACCGAAAAGAUAAAAACGAAACCACAGGGGGGCAAUUUGAUACAUUUUAAACCACAGGGGAUAAAGUGAGAAACUAUGAAACCACAUGGAGUUUUUUUUGAAAUUUUCCCAAAAAACUAACGAUCAAUCAAACAAUGUGGAUAUAUAUGAACAUGCCAAAAUUUUUGGAGAAAUAUAUUUACAAACCAAAAUAUUUUCGAAAGAAUAAAUUUGAUAACUUAAUUAAGCUUUAUAGAAAUAUAUAUUUGUUACUUGAUAUCUUAAUUUGUAGGAAGAUAUAUAAUUUUUUUUUUUUUUUGAGAGAUAGGUAGCACGCUAUCCGCUUCGUUUAUUUCAUUUAUAAAUAAACUUAGCUGAAAAUGUGAAUCAACUAGUAUUCAAACUUGGGUCUCGGGUACCAACCACCAAGCCCUUUGUCACUUGCUAUAGGGACAGUUAGUGAAGAUAUAUAAAAUUAAUCCUAAAAUAUAACUAUUAGACCUAUAGAAACAUAAGCAAGUAGAUAUAGGUUGUUAGCAUGUGAGUAGAACAUGUACAUGCCCAUUGGAACCAAGCAAAAGGGCAAAAAUAAAAUCUUUGGAUGAGACAAAAGAAUGAGUGACACACCACAUGGGCCAUGACAGCUAUGUUUUUGUAUAUGAUGAACUUCUCUCCCUUUCAAAAUCCAGCUAUUAUUUCCACCUCACUCUCCACAUGGCAUUUAUUUUUUUAUUUUUUGGGCAGUGUGAUUGUAAUGAGAAGCAACAUAUAAUUCACACUAUAAUUGAGUCUACAUGCAUCUUUUUAAUUCUAGAAUUUAGGCUAAAUUAUACUUUUUGGUCAUCGAAAAAGUACGAGCACCAGGACGCUCUUGUCCUCAAACUUUAAUUCGUUAUAAUUUGUAACUCGAGUUUUUUGAAUUAUUAUGUAAUCAAGUUUUACAGUUCAAUUUAGUUAGCUAAAUACUAACAAUUUAUUGAUAUGAAAAUAAUAUCAAAGUAUUGUGAUUGAUGAUAUAAUAAUAAUUAAGAUUCUUUUUAUCACUUCUAGAUUAAUAGUUUGUUAAUAUUUAGCUAACUAAAUUAGAUUGUAAGACUUGAUUACAACUAUUCAGAAAAUUUGAGUCAGAAAUUAUAAUAAAUUAAAAUUUGAGGGCUAAUUGUCACGAUCCUCAUCGUUUGAGGGUCAAAAGUGUUAUUUGUUCUAGAAUUUAUAAAACUCUCUUGUAUUUCCGGUAAACGAAAAAAAUAGCGGAUAAGAUUAGUGGUGUAAAUUUUAUACAUAAUUUAUAGAUGGACAGAUAAGGUUGCUUUAAUUUAAUUAGUAUAUAGAAAAAAAAAGUUAUAAAACUAGCACAUAAAUAUUAGUCUUUGGAUCAUUAAAGUGUAAAAUUUAGGGCCAAUUUUUAGGAUUUCCAGGAACCAUUAAUGGAAACUAUAUAUAUACAUACAUCAUCAUCAACACUUGUAGAUUGAGAUGAACACAUUUAUGAGUCAUCACACUUAUCAUGGUGUUGUGAUUAUUAAUUUAUUUGUAUAGGGUGGGUCACAUGCAUGAAAAUGACUACUUUGAAGGAAUUGAUUCCUAAACUAGGGAGACCUACUCUUACCUUAUUUCACAAGGUCUAUUUGGCUUCAUAGGAGGUUCUACAUAAUUUAAGACUAUUUUUAAAUUAUUAUUUUUGAAAAUAAAUUGUAGUAAUAUAUAUUAUAACAUCAAAGUGGAUCUUAAAUCCUUUUUAUUUUGUGAGGUCAUAAUUCAAUUAGCAAUGUUGCCUGUACAAUUAUUUUACAUAUUAUAAAUUUUGUAGGAAUAAUUAUCUAUAUACCUCUCAAAACUUUAAAAAUAUCUAAUUUAUCCUUUUUUUGUUUUCAGUAUACCCUUCAUAUGUUUCACUAUUAUUCAAAAAUACUCCAAUAGUUACAACCCGUUAAAUUAUCUCGGGUUAAACGUGAGUUAAAUAUCUACCUGCAGAGUUAAAAAAAAAUUAAAAUAGCUUUUUUGCCCUUAACUUAGCGGCAAAUAAGAAAAAUUGGUGAUAGUAGAAGGGUAUAUUAAAAAGAUCAAAAAUUAAAAUACUUCUUUUGUCUCUAACUUAAGGACAAAAUAAAAAAAAGUUGGCAAUGGUAGAAAAGAUAUAUUGGAAAGGACAAAAUAAUAAUUUUACAGAGAUAAUGACUAUUGAUAAUAGUUCAUUAACAGAAUUUAACUCCAUGGUAUAUUUGAAAUAACUUGGAAUGUAAGAAGAGUAUUUUUAAUAUUAGCCUUUUAAGAGGGAUAAAUUAGAAAGUUAAAAUCUUUUCAGGGGUAUACAAACAAUUAUCCCAAUUUUAUACAUUAGCCUCUCAAACGCUAAGAUUAAUUUACUCACUAAUUUUAUUUAUCUUUAUUCUACUACUAAAAAUCUAAAAAAAAAAGUUAAAUUCUUGAACGACGGGGUGUAAGAAGUGUAGGGUGUACAGAUAGUAUUUCUCUAGCUAGUUCAAUUCACUACGCCUAUAAACACGUCGCUUUUUUUAUUUUUAAAAUUCGCUUGCUUUCAAUUCAACCAUUUAUUAAUUUUAAAAAAGAGAAUUUUGAAUGAAAAGCAUGAAAUUCACCUCGUCCAAUAUUUAUUUUGCUUUUCGAGUAUAAUAUAUUUAAUUUUCUAGUAAAACUAUUAUAUUUAAUUACUUGUUUUUUAACACUUCGAUUCGAUAGAGAGAAAAGAAGAAAAAAAAAAUCAUCUCCUUCCUGUUUGUAUCAAGAUUUGAGCCGAAAAAGAAAAGAAAAAUCGAAAGAAAUGGGAAAAACAAAUUUCUGUAAAACUUUUUUUUUUUUUCCAAAAGCAAAGAAAAAGAAAAAAAAUUUAUUUACUUUACUUUUUUCCUAGAACUGCAUCAACACGUGUGUUAUAAAAUAUUUAUUUAAAAGUGUUCAUGAACAAUCCAGUAGAUUUUUAAUCUUAUCAAUAAUGGUACAGUAACAUUGUGACAGAUUUAAUUAAUUGGUUCAUAUAUCAUAUACAUAUAUUAUUAGUGGCACCUUAUAAAUUCGACAACACAUCAAUAAUAAAUAAAACUAUAUUGCGAGUGACCAACAAGACCGUCCCUAGAGCAAAUGACAAAGAGCUUGGUGGUUGGUAUCUGAGACCCAAGUUCGAAUCCUAAUUGAUUCACAUUUUCAGCUAAGUUUAUUUCUAAAUAAAAUAAACAAAGCGGGUAUCUUGCUACCUAAUUUCGUGCAUCAUAAGUUCUAUGUAGUAUCAUAAGCAACGAUGUGUUUGGACAUAGAACUAGCCCUUGGAUUCCUCAUGCUAUCAUUGACUUUAGUGAUGUAGCUUACACUGCUUUUUACUUAACUAAUUAAUAAUUGAUGCAUUCAAACAAGAUCUAUACGUAAUAGUACGAAUUCUUAUUGAGUUACAUUUACGUAGAAUCCUUUUUCUUUUUGGGCUAUAUAAUGAGUUCCUAACAUUUGUAGUUUACUGUAGAUAGAUAUUUAUCAUCUAAAUUCUUGUCACUUUCGAUAGAAUAAGUGUGACGCCCCAACUUCCCAGGGGGUCACCCAUCCUAGGACUACUCCCAUCCUAGCACGCUUAACUCUCUUAACCUCUUGGGCCUUGCCACCACCCAAAAUGCUUAAGCCGGGUUAAGAGUUUAGCCCUAUUAUAUCUUAUAUAUAGGACUACCCGGGGUCUCACAAUCUCCACACAGAACCCCGUAUCGGUUUCCCAAAACCGAUUACCGUGACUCGCCGGAAGUCCCGAGAAUCGCACCGGGACUUCGCCGGGACCCACUAACUGUCCCGGAAGGCACCGACUCAUGCCACGAGUCAUUUGCUGCCACUAAACACUUAUUUUAGUGUGACAAGGCAGCAAACACAAGGAUACACAACCAAACAACUAUUGGUGUAUAAUUGUUGGGAUCCGGGUUCCCGGGAGUGUCUAUUUCGACACUGGAACCCACCGUCGCUCACCCGUCAUUUCUGAACUCUCGAAAUGAUGCGAGUGACCAGCCAAUAAGGCUCAGCGACCACGCAAUAGCUCACGAAGCACCGUCGGAAGAAUUCCGAACUAAAACCGCGUUUCGUCGACAGAUUUUGCCGACAAACGCGCCGGAAAUGCAUUUCCGAUCUUCGUAAAAGUCUGGGGCCUUGGAAAAUCAUUCCAGAGGUCACCCACAGCUCACCCAUGCUGCCAACAGCAGCCACGACACAACAAAUUGCAUAAAAGCCCUCCCGAUUCCAAGAAAUCACAUUAUUUCAUGUGUUUUCCGGGCUUUUAUGGUCCGUCUACGCAAAUUAGAGGUCAAUCAGCCGAGACAAGAUACCCACUUAUAGGUUUCGACGUGCCGGAGGCCGUGCUCACCUUUCGGAGCACUGCCGGCUACUGCGGUGCGCGCACGAGCGACGCGAAGUUCUGUUAAACUGCGCGCACAGCGCGAAGUUCGCGACUAACUCACUAACCAGGGCAUAUUUGCCGCUGUCGGAGGUGAGCACGAUGUUCAGCACGAACCCUAGAUCAUCGUGCUCACUUCUCGAGGUCUCGGGGAGUCAUCGGAUCACCGGGAAGGUGGCCGGAAAGCUUAAAUUGCAAAGCUGGAACUCAAAAACAGCAUACCGGAGCAGUGGGAGCUAGGGUUGGUCGCCGGCGGCCGGGAGGCGGGCACUCCGGCCGGGGAUGGGAGCAGCCGGUCCGAGACGUCCGGGGAGGGUGCUGGCCGGCGGCGGGCGGCAACCGGUGGCGCGGCGGAGGAGAUCCACUCCCCCAACUCCCUCUCGGGUUCAAGCUUCCCGGCGGCGCGGCGGCGGCCGGAGGAGGUCGGGGUGGCUACGGUGCGGCGCCGGAGGCCGAGGGGAAGGCGAUGCACCCCACGGUGGGCGGCGGCGGCGCUUGGAAGCCGAGCGGGGCCGACCUCGGCCCGCACGCGUCUGGGCGGCUGUAGGAGCUUCAGGCGGCGGCCGGCGGUGGUCAAGGACGCCGGGAAACAAGCGCGUGAGGUCGCCGACAGCAAAUGGAGGCGGGGCAGCCCGCCUCGAGGCGGAUGCGGCGCGCGGAUGCAAAUAUCGCCCAGGCUCGGCCUGGGUGAUUGCCGGUGGCCGCAGGGAGCUUGGGCGGCUCCGGCGGCGUGCGCAGGCGAUGGGGCCGGCGGCAGGGGUCGCCGGGGCUCCGGGUAAGGGCGUCUCGGCCGUCCCAAAGUGGCGGCGGCCGUGCUAGCAGGGAGCUAAAGGGGGGCGUCACAAUAAGUUAUGUCAACUCAGAGAUAUAUACUACGGUCAUAGUUUGAAAGCUCUCAAACAGUUUUAGCGCCGACUUUUUAAAGUUUGUGUAAACGUUUUAUUACACAUAUUUGGCUUGAUGCUACAAACAUAGGAUACGUUAAAAAAGAUAAUAGAUAUUGUGUGCGAGGUCGAGAUGGCUGUAGGCGUGGAGGACGAUAUUGAAUGUGGUGAAGUUGCGGUAGACGCGGUGAACGAACACACGGGAGAAGAGGCUAGCAAUAAAAUGCGUAGAAGAUGCUUGGAUGUAAAAUAUUAGAGGGGAGAGAGAGAAAGAGAGACAUAUUGCCAAAAAUAAAAUUUUUGCUUUUAAUUUUAUUCUCUCUCUUAAUAAAGAAUAUUAAAAGGGUUCUAUUUAUAAAAGUCUGAUAAAAUAGAAUCCAGAAUCCUUCUCCGAAUCAAAGCGGCGCUCGUUUAUCUAACCUAACUAAGGUUAGAUAUUUAACUUAUAGUUGUUAUAAUUUUCUAACAAAUAUUGAUAGUGGAGACACUUUUACAAAUUAAUGGCAGAUUUUUUAGAGAAAUAAGUGUAAAAAUAAAAAUUUUGUAGGGAUUAAUCUGGAAAGAUGGUCUUUUGCAGGGAAUUCUAUACAAUUAUCCUCUAUUAUUAGAUAGAAUUAAUGCAGCACUAUCCAAUUUGUCUUUUUUUACAUAUAUCAAACCAAAAGAAGAAGGAGAAAUAUUUGGUUUGUCCAUCUAAUUGUCUAGAAAAUGAAAUCCUGGCUUUGCAUAUAAUUGUGAAAUUUGUAUUGUAUCCAUAUCUGAAAUGUCAAUUUCACCUGUUGUUGGUAAUAGAUUAUGUUCUGCUCAUUAAUAAACAAUUUGAACUUACGCAAUUUGCUUAUGUUCAGCUCGAAUAAGCUCAAAAAUAAAUAAAAAAACAUUAAAGAAUAGUAAUUUUGUUAGGAUGUUGUUAGAUUUGUAAUUGAUUUUUAGUUGGAUUAGAAUUAAUAUUUAAAUCUGAUGGAGAUAAAUUAAGAUUUAAAUAUUAGUUAGAGUAGAAAUUUAAUUAGACUAAUUAACUAGGAUUUGAGUAGCUGUUUUUUUUUUUUUUUGAGAGAUAGGUAGCACGCUACCCGCUUCGUUUAUUUCAUUUAGAAAUAAACUUAGCUAGAAAUGUGAAUCAACUAGGAUUCGAACUUGGGUCUCGAGCUGUUGAUGUAAACUAUAAAUAUAGCACAAGUGGUAUUAUUUUGGUGGCCGUAGUGGUAUGAAUUAGGCAUACUGAGGACAUAGUCAAUGUUGUCAUGAUUUUAUAUGCACCUAGUAUAUAGAUGCAACAGGACGUGUACGGCUUUCGUAGCUGUGGCUCAUUGGUAUAUUUUAUACACGGGUGCACAGAAUGAGAGAAAAGUCUCCUUACUUUAUGGAAGACGAGAGAAGGAUGGGGAAAAGUCAGAAAGAUGACUCGUGUUGAAACUACUCUAUUGUAAAAGAGAAAAGUCAGGUAUAAUCUUCUCUUAUUUAGUAAAUUUUAUUUUACCCGCAUAUUUUUUCUGUUUGAUUUUUUUUCUUUUAUAAUUGUGCCAGCUUUUGCUGAGAAGACAGAUUUGUAAUAAAAAUCCGAUUCGAUACUUUUAUUGUAGAAUCCCAACAAUCGAUACUCGAUCAACAAUAGUCGGUAUCGGAGCGGCUUGCGAAUUCUCAAAAUCUGGUAUCAGAGCGAGUACCGAAUUCUCAACAAAUUCCACCAUGUAAACAAAAACUCGAGUUCUCAUGCUAAUACAAUUCGACAUAAUAAUUUGAGUUUAUCGUUUUUUUAAUUUGACAAAGUUUCGUGCAAAUAAGAAACUCAGUAAUCGCUUUUCUAAGGCAAACUCUUGUUCACAAACAACUCAAGUUAGAUUCAAAUACAAGUAAGCUGGCUCAAGUUUAGCGCGUAGACAAGCGAGUUUAGCUCGAACUUAGUUCAGCUCGCUUAUGUUUGGCUCGUUCACAGUUCUAUCGCAAACUUCGAUCCAAAUUUUCAAUUAUCUUCUUCCGACAAACACAUCGAAUCAAUCAAUUCAUCCAAUUCUUUUUGCAUUUGGAUUUUUAGAUUAUAUAUAUAUAUUUUUUUAAAUAAUAUUUUCUUUUCAGUCAUUUUCGUGCGACAUAUAUAGUUUCUUAGUUAGAUUAGCAUUUGGGGGAUUAAUUAAGGAAUGUUAUGAUAAUCCAUUGACAACUACAACUCAGCUAACUCAAAUCAUGAGAAAUAAUUUAACAAAAAUGUGUAGAUAAAGGCCUUAUCUGGUUAGCUUGUAAUUGUACACGUCAGUCAUAUGAAUUUUUAAGAAAUCAUAAAAGCGAAUAAAAAAAAAAAAGCAAUACUACCUAUACUCCCUGAAGUAUGGUAUACAUCUUAUACAUAUACUAUUCAUAUAUAUUCUUGUAAAAAUAUCAAAUAACAGAUAAAUCCGUGCAAAGUUUAAAUGAUCAUAUUUAUCUAUUCGAAAAUUCUUUGGUUUACAAAUAUAUCCUUCUAAAAAUUCUGGUUCAUUCAUAUAUGUUUCUGCUGUUUAAUUUACCAUUAGUUUUUUAACGGUGCGUGCGUAAAAUGACUAUUUUAUCCUUACAAAUUUAUCCCUAUAAAAAGAUAUCUUUCCUUCUCUCUCUCCUUGCCAUCGUCGCUGCAACCGAAGGCCUCACCGUCGACGUCAACGUCGCCAUGGAUAGAGAGGAGAGGGUGAGAAAGAUGACGGAACUUAACAUUAGAAUACAAAUUAUAUAUAUAUAGAGUAAAAAGAUUAUUUUACUCCUUAUCUAACUAUGAUUAGCUUUUUAUGGUUAUCUAAAUUUUGGUAAUAAAAGGACACAUUUACAGACGGGAGGAUGUUUGGAGGAAAAAAUUUGAUAACUUAAAUAUUGUAAAAAUAUAUUUGCUAUUUAAUAUUUUUGUAAAAAAUCAUAUGCAAUUUUCUCAAUAUUUCGUAUAUCCAACAAAAAUACGUACUAAAACACUCUAAAAACUUAAUUUUUCUUAAAAAUUUAAUAAGAAAGCCCGAACGAAUGUGUGCGGAUAUGCUAGCGAUACGCCAUUGAAAUAGCGGUACAGAUCGUGCGAGUGGCAAGAGACUACAAGAAGAAGAUGAUGAAGAAAACAAGAACAGAAGCUGUGGACAAAAAAAAACACUUAAACAAAAAAUGAAAAAGUUAACCAAAAAGGAAGAUUGAGGACCCACUUAAUUAAUUGGCUGUCUCCUUGAUGCCAACAGCCAUCAUUUGAGUUACAGUUCUCCUUUUUUUUUUUAAAUAGAGCCAAUGAAUGAAAAAGAGAAUUUUGUUUAACAAAUUAAACCAAUUUAUGUAUGGUUUAAAUGAUCAUGUAUGUACUUCAACAGUUCAAGAAGGAUGGAUCAGAGCCCCCUAUGAUUUACUCAUUUAUUUUUUAUUAUUUAUUUAUUUUUCAAUACAUGAUUUAAACAAAAAUUUUAUGGACAUACUUCCCAAACAAUCUUGUUUCGGAAUUGUCCUGAUGGACAUCACAUGGUGAGCUGCGCCCAUCCCAACAGCCCAAAAAAAGUAUUGCUUUUGCUAGAUUAAAAUCCUUUUAGGGUUGGGCGCAGCUCGCCAUGUGACGUCCAUCAGGACACCUUGCCAUGUGCUACAUAUCUCUCAAAAAAAAAAAAAAAAAAUCUUAGGGUUGGGAUGGGCGUCGCUUUUUGCUGGGCGGUUGGGCUGGGGGCAGCUCAUCAUGUGGCGCCCAUCCGAAUAAUCCCCAAACAAGAUUGUUUGAGGAAUAUGUGCAUAAAUUUUUGUCCAACAAACCCUCUCCGAUUUAUUCAAGUAAAGCCGAAGUUUGGGAUUUCACGAUUCGAAGGUUAAAAAUGUCUGUAAGUGUUUUAGGAGCUUUUCUUUUCAAUAUUAUAAGAUGAGUGAAAACUAUCAUCAAAGAACCUGAUGGUUUUUACCACUAUUUUGUAUCAUUAAAGUAGGUAAGAGUUCAUUGUUCAAUUCUUUCGGUUUUUAAUGGAUAAAAGUGGUGUGAUUCGACACUAUAGUCCCAAUUUUAGGACUUUACGGGGUAAGAGCGAUUGAGGGCCGCCUAAUGCUACUGAGUAAAAAUGAGAAAAUUACUUCUCCCUUCUGAUAAUAGACUCUUAACUGACUUAUUGCAAUAUACACGACAUAAUGUUACUUAUGAAAAUAAAUAGAACAUAUAUUUCUUUUGUAUUUUUUCAGCUGCACGUAACACAAAGCCCGGCCGUCGCAAUCCCAAACGAAAUCAAAGAGUUCAAGCUUGACUCUAUCAUUGCAUGAUCCAAAAAUAUGGGCUUAUCCUUGAUUAGCUUUUAAUCCAAAUUGACUACAAGUUGAAUUUAAUUAAAAAGCCAAGUCAAAAUUUUCUUUGUUGAUAAGAUAACAGCUAAUUGGCUACAUCCGUUGUCUCUCUUCAAUCUUAUCAACUAGGAGUUAUUGCAUGCACUCGUUCACGACACGUCUCAUGCAUCACACCGUAUUUUUAAGACCAAUUUGCAUAAAAAAAUCUAUUAAUUUUAAGUUUUUGCAAAAAUAGGUCAUAUUUUUAAAUUUUGCAUAUUCUGAUCGAAUUUCAUAAAAAAUCUACUAUUUUUAAUGCCGUAUCUUAAAAUCAAAAUCCACUCAAGUAGAUGUGAUCUGCAGACUUAAUAAUCAAUGGUGGAGAAAGAACUGUUAUUUGAUUUAUGAGAAAUAAAAAUAAAAAAUUUGUAAUUUUUUGUAGGUAGGCAUUUUAAAUAUCGUAAAAUAUAUUCAAUAAAUUAGAUUUUAUAAAUUAAAAUAUCUUUUAUGAUGUUUUAUAAAGGUUUGGUUUUGGUGCAUGCAAGCAAUAAUUUGCUGUCACGAGAGGAAAUGUAUUUUUCAAAACAACAUAAUCACACUCUAUCUAUAUCUAAAAGCGUAUAGAAAUUUCAAUAAUAACGGACGAAAUCCAAAUAAGAAUAAACGAAUAUUCCCUACAAAUGGUUAUGAUUAAUUUGUUAAAAAUAUCUCAAAUAAAAACGAACGGUUAUGAUUAAUCUAUUAAAUAUAAAAAAAUAUUCCCCUACGAAUGGUUAUGAUUAAUUUGUUAAAAAUAUCUCAAAUAAAAACGAACGGUUAUAACCAAUCUAUUAAAUAUAAAAUAAUAUUCUCUACGAAUGGUUAUGAUUAAUUUGUUAAAAAUAUGUCAAAUAAAAAUGAAUCAAUCUAUUAAAUCUCUAUUUUAUAAUCUACCAUAUUGGAACUAUUUAAAAACCAAAUUUUAUAAUUUUUUAACAUAAUUUACUAAGCAAUCAAAAGGUCCUAAAAAUGACUAUUUUAACGGCCGAUGCGGCACGUUUUUAAGUUCAACGGUAUAGAAAUAUCCAAAUUACAUGAAAAUUUAAUAGAAAAUUCUACUUAACGUCAAUAGCAAGAUCAAUAAUUUCGAUUUGAAAUUUGAGUCCUUUAUCAUUAUUUUUUAUAAGAUUUUUAUUCUCAGCCGUUCAUUUUGAGGCUACUUGUUCAUUAGGCAAAUGAAAUCAAAAAAUUAUGAAAUUUGAUUUCUAGAUAGUUCCAAUAGCGUAGAUCAUGUCUAACGGAACUGAUCGCCAAAUCGGACGUUUCAUCAUCGAAAACAACUUACAAGUAUGGAGGCCCCCGUACUUUCGAAAGUAUAGGAGCCUAUCUCUCUCUCUCUCUCUCUCUCUCUCUCUCNCGUUUUCGAUCUUAGGGUGUUCAAAUCAACGAUCCACACCGUUAAAACUAAUCUAAGGUAUUUAAAGUUUUUAGAAAUAAAAUUUUAUAUUUUUUCGACAUAGUUUACUUUAUGAUCAAACCAUUUCAAAAUUGUGAAUUUUCAAUAGCUACUAUGGCGAGUUUGGAGUUUAACGGUGUAGAAGAAUCUAAAUUUCUUCAAAUUUUGAUAGAAAAUACUUUAAACUAUCUAAAUUAAGGUUAACAUUCUUGAUCUUGAAUUUAAAAGUCCUAUACUCAAAUUUUAAAGAUUAUUCAAUUUCCACCGUCCAUUUUGACAUAAUUUAUUUACUAAGUAAACGAUGUCGAAAAAAAACUAAAAUUUUAUUCCUAAGAAUUUUAUAUACCCUAGAUCAUAUUUAACGGUGUGGAUCAUUAAUUUGAACACCCUAAGAUCGAAAAUAAAACUAUAGUACCAGAGCUCUAGUACUAUAGAUAGUAUAGUAGCCUAAUUCUAUAUAUAUAUAUAAAAUCUAUUCCCUACAGAUAGCUAUUAUCAAUUUGUUAAAAAAAAUCUCAAAUAAGAACAGUUAUGAUCAAUUUAAUAAAAAAUAACAUUCUUAUCCAUCUAUAAAUUCAAUCCUACGAACGAUUAUAAUCAAUUUGUUAAAAAAUAUCUCAAAUAAAAACAAACGGUUAUGAUCAAUUUGUUAAAAAUAGCAUUCCUAUUCAUUUAUUUUACAUUAAAAUUAAAAUUUGAGUUUAAAUUAUGAAUUAAUUUUAAUUUUUGAUAUCAAAUUUGAAUUAACAAUUAAUUUUUUUAUUACAGUAGAUCAAAAUUAAAUUUUAAAUUUUAAAGUAAAUAUGAAUUAAAUUUUGAUGCUUUUAGUUUAAAACACAUAUUUAAAUUUGAUUCAUCAAAAAUCAAAAUUAUAUAAAAAUGUUUGAUGUAUAUAAAAAAAAGGAAAAACUUCAAAAAAAACCCCAUGGUUUCGUAGUUUCUCACUUUGCCCCCCUGUGGUUUAAAAUGUAUCAAUUUGCCCCCCUGUGGUUUCUUUUUUCUCUUUUUCUUAUCAAUUUCAUUAUUUUUUUUUCUUAAAUCAGUGAUAAAGUUAAAAUUAAAGAGUACUAAAGUGAAUAUUUGAUAAAUCUAGAUGGGUAUCUGAAGUUUUUUGUAUAUAAUUUAAUAAAAUAUUAACGAAAAAGCUACCGAAAAGAUAAAAACGAAACCACAGGGGAGCAAUUUGAUACAUUUUAAACCACAGGGGAGCAAAGUGAGAAACUACGAAACCACAGGGGGGGUUUUUGAAGUUUUUCCUAAAAAAAAGAACACUGUAGGAUAUUCUAAAUAUUUUCUAAUAAAAUAUAACAUAUUAAUUUAUAAAUAUAAUUUUUAUUGUAAAAUUUUGGAUAUAUAUAAUGUACAAAUUUAUAUUAAUUUUCAACUAGUGUGUAUAUAUAGAGAGAGAGAGAGAGAGAGAGAGAGAGAGAGAGAGAGCAGGACUACUGUGCUCUUAGAAACAUGGAGGCCUCCGUGCUCCUAAACUGUUUCCGAUGAUAGAAUUUUCGAAUCGACGAUCGGCUCCGUUAGAUAUGAUCUAGCGUAUUUGAAGUUUCUUGAAAAAUAAUUUUUGCGGUUUUUCGAUAUCAUUUACCUAACAAUCGAAAGAAUUUAAUAUCAACGGCUGAAAAUAAAAAUUCUAUAAAAAUAGUGAUGUAGUACUAAAAUUUUCGAUCAGAGAUAUUGAUAAUGUUGUAUAUAGUAUAAAAAAUUUGGUAUCAAAAUUUCAUAUGAUUUGAAUAUUUCUACACCAUUAAAUGAAAACGGUAGACAUCAACCAUUAAAAAUUAUUGAUUUUGAACCCUUUCGAUCACUAGGUAAAUGAUAUCAAAAAAUCGCAAAAAUUAUUUUUUAGAAACUUCAAAUACGCUAAAUCAAGUCUAACAGAGCCGAUCGUCGAUUCGAAAAUUUUAUCAUCAAAAACGGCUUAGGAGCACAGAGGCCUCCGUGCUCCUAAAAGCACAGCAGCCCUGCUCUCUCUCUCUCUCUCUCUCUCUCUCUCUCUCUCUAUAUAUAUAUAUAUAUAGCCUUUGUGUAUUUUUUACUAGUAAGUUAUAACAUUUUGAUGAAAAAUUAUAGGAUUGAAAUGAUAGUAAUCUUCUAGCUAGGGUUUAUAUAUUGAAGUCAAAUUUUUAAUCAUCAAAGCGUGGUACGUACGUAUAAUUAUAAGUCGUUUUGAUAUUCACUUUGCUCUUAUAAAGAUUGGAAUUGAUGAAGAUGAUGAAACUCUUGAGAUUUGGAUUAAUUGUUGGGUAAAAUGAUCAGGGAGUGUAUCUCAAAAUUUUUUAGAUGUUAGAUAAUCCUACGACUUGAAGUAGUUUUCUUUAAAAAUUGUUAAACGAAUCCAUGAGGUCAGUAAUUGAUCAUCGUUUUGCCUCCAUUUAAUAAAGAGAAAACUUUAAAUAACCCCCUUGUGGUUUGGUGGUUUAGUUUGGUACCCUAUGAUUUGAAACGUUUUACUUUUCUACUUUGUGAAUUUACUUUUAUAUCGUUGUUAGGACUUGCCGUCAAGAAGAGUGUUAAAAUAUUAAAAUUUAUAAACUACAGGAUAGUAAAGUGAAAACGCAGCACUAAACCACAAGCGAACUAUUUGAAGUUUUAAAGAAGGAGAAAGCGACGGUGGGAACGAAAAAUGAAAAUAAAAAUUACAGAGCAUUUAGGUGAUACUGUUAAAACCAUAUAUGGUACUAAGGGUGUGUUUGGUUCGCAUUAUGAAAGAUUACUAGGAAUAAAAAAUAUCCGAGAAUCUUAUUCCUAUUUAUCCUAUUACUAAGAAUGUGGAAUUCCUGUGUCUGGUUCGCACGGUAAUAUUAAUUAGCCAUGUUAUUUAAUAUUACAAAAAAUAUACAUUUUAUUUAUUUAUUUAAUUUUAUAUAAUAUUACCAAAAGUUUCAACAUUUUUUUAGAAAAAAGGGAGAGAGAGUAUAAGUUAGAGAGAGAGAGCAUAAUUAAAAAAAUAGAAAGAAAAAUAUAGUCGAAAUUAGAGGGAGUGAGAGAGUUGAAAUUUUAGAAAGAGAGAGAGAGAGAAAGCUUAGUUUAGAGAGAGAAAAAAAAAAGUUGAAUUUUAGGGAGAAAAAUAAGUUUAGAGAGAAAUAUAAGGUUAGAGUGUAAAGAAAAAUAAUAUCAAUUAGCAUGCGGGUAGGAAGAAAGAAAGAUAUUAGACAUUUGUGAUUACCCCAAUCCAUUAAUAUGAGAAUAUCCACCCUCCCUCAAGGGAAUGAGAUUAGUACUUUGGGGUGAAUCUUAUUCCCAAGUGAAUCCGAUAUUACCAACUAGAUUACUUAGUGUGUUUAGCCAAACACCGUCAUAUUUUUUUAUUCCCAUUGGAUUAGUAGGAAUCUUUAAAAGAUAGCGCGAACCAAACGCACCCUAAAGGAAAAGUGCGGUAAACCAUAAGAAGGGCAUCUAAAGCUGUGAAAGAUAUUUCACCAUCCCGUCGACAUAGCCAAGUAGAUGAUAGCUAGUUAGCAAAGGAAGAAAUUGACUCCAUCAUGGCAAUUAAUUCUCAUCAAUAAGUUUGAUAGGAAUUGUAUUAGUUAAUCUUGGAAGAGUUGUUACCAAGGACGUGGAAUCAACAGUAGUGGGAUUUUCUUUGGUGUGAAGUGGUGAGGUUAUGUUGAAGUUGCGUACAGUGGAAGGAACUAAAGUAAAGAAAAAUAUAAAGAUGGAGAUGUUGGAUGUGGCCCACGUGAUUUAUUCAAGAUAAUAUAUAAAAAUACGAUCAGUCUAUUCAAGUCGAUCUAUAAAGAUACGGUAAAUCUAACGGUUAGGAUCAAUGUAUCUGGACAUAUUCUUGAUAGACGGACGUGAUUUAACAUCCUUACAUCAAGUUAUAUAUCAUACGGGAGCCUCGAUGUAAUCCUAAUCUAAUUUUCUGUGACGGCUCUAUCUCGGGGGACAAGAAAAUUAGACUCGAAACGUCUCACUCUCUUACAAAUAGCAAACGAGGACGAACCACGAGUAAGAACCGUCGUCUACAAUCCGGAUAUUGAAAUCGAAAUUAUGGCAAAAUGUACGAUCUUAGUUUCUAAUGAAAGUUCAACAGGAGAUGUGGGUGUGAAAGGAGGAGAAAAAAAUAAAUAUAUGGGCACUCUCAAUUAAUGAUCUCUAAUGAAUUCACUCAGAAUUCAUGUUAAAAAUAUACAAAAAUACAAAUUAUUGUUGUUACAUUCAAAACUGAAGUGAAUAAGAAUGAAUCAAUGAGAUUGAGAUGUUUCUUCAUUCAAGCAGAAUAAUCUUAUCCUUAUCCAUUAUAUAUAUAUAUUUCACAAGCAACUCAUCAGCUCUGCAGCAAAGCGUAGGCAUUUGUUAGUGCCUAUUGAAGAUGAGGUAUUUUUGUAAUUUUCAUAAUUUUUCUAGAUGUUAUAAUAAAAAGAGUUUCUAACUACAAAACACCAAAGACCAAAUAUGUGCCCUAACUUGGGUCUGGUUGUUUCUGUCACUGCAUGUGGUCCGUAUAUAACAGGUUGGUGCCAAACAAUUUAACAAGAGGACAUGUUAGUUGUAUUUUCUAUCACAGGUUUUCUCCCCUACAUAUAUUAUCUAUUUCUCUCCUCUUUCCUGAAUCUUCUCUCUUCUACUGUGCUUAUUUAUGCAUGUUAGACUCUAUUUGAAAUUGCAGAAAGGUUACAUUAAUUAUGUUUGGUAAAAAUAUACGUAGAAUGAAAUGAUAGUCUAAUUGUUUGUAUAAAUAAUAUCAUGUUCUGCAUCUCGCAAUAAUUAAGACUGUUAUGAAAUAACUUUUGCGGUCCCACUGAAAAACGAUAAAAUAAUGACUCUUUUUCGGCAUAUAAUGUUAGAUAGCUUUUGAUACUAAAGAAUCUUAUUUUGAUGCAUGAUUUUUUUGUUCGAUAUAUCUUAUUAAUUUGUCCAAAAAACUUAGGACAUAUUUGAUUUGAAGGAUUUGAGGUUUAAAAUGUGAAUAUGAAUGAUUAAUUUUCAUUAUUAGUUUUUGGUUUGAGGGCCAUGGAGGUGGAAAUCUAUUUUGAUUUCAGAUGGGAUUGAGAAAAGAAAUUUCUUUUUUUCUAUAGCAAUCAUUUAACUUCAAACAUUAAUAUAAAUUUAAUUUUAAAUUAUAUAAUUUUAUAUUUGAAUUUGAAUUAUGGAUUCAAAUUUUAAUUUUACAUUUCUUGAGUUCAAGUUUAAUUUUAAUAUACGUUGGAUAUUUAAAUUUAGUUCUAAAUAUAAAUUUUAACUUUGAUAAGUUCAAAUUGUGAGUUCAAAUUUGAUUAUGAAUUUGAAUAGCAAAUUCAAAUUUUAAUUAAAAUUUAACUUUCUAAAAUUUUAAUUCGAACAAGAUUUUGAUUUCUUUACGAACCAAAUAAAUUAGAGUUUUUAUUGUUCCGCUUUCCAUUCUAAUUCAUUCUCAUUCCUAUUCUGAUUUAGACUUCCAUUCUGAACCAAACAAGCCCUAACAGUAUUCAAAAGAUGAAGAUUGUGAUCAAAUGUUCAGCAUGGAAUACUACGUUAGAAAAAUUAUUCGCUUAAAUCAUGAAUAUUAAAACCUUCCAACGAAUAAAAGUCAAACUCCAUACUUCCAAUCACAUAAAAAAAUUCUCAUAUCUAAUAAAUUAUGAUUAAAUAACUUAUUUUAACAUCCAAAUAGAGCUGUAGUUUUCUUAUGUUUUUAACAAUCCAAAACAUUUGAAAUCAAUUGGAAGUUAUAUAAUAUGAGAAUCCUCCAUUUCUUCUAAAUAUUCAAAAUUGCCUCACUAUGCAUGCAAUUUUCUUGUGCGAUGGUAAGUAAAGUGUUUAAUUCUUUGCUUAUUGAAAGGUUUUGAUAUCCAUAAUUCGGCAAAAUAAAUUAUUUAAUUAGUAAUGUCCUAUUCAAUAGGAGCAUGUUCUUUUAUGGUUAGAAGAUAGGAAUGUGGUCAAAUGGAAUAGCAUAUUCCAAAUUGAAUAUGCCAUCCUAUCAAGUUUUAUAUGAAUGUUAAGACUUGUUAGAGAGCUACAAUCAAAUCAACUAUCUUCUAGUUUACACAAGAAAUUAUCAUCAUGUGGAUCCUUUCCUUAAAAAGGACUUGCAAGUCAAUUGUAGUACUUCAUUAGAAACAUCUAACCAUAUUUCGCCUUUACCAAUGUGACACUCCACUUUCCAAAAGGUCCUUCAUCUUAGAAUUACUUCAGCCUUAGCACGCAUAACUCUUUUAACCUCUUGAACUGUGGUACUGCGUAAAAUGCUAUAGCCAUGUGAGGUUCAGUCCUAAUAUAUCUUAUAAAUAGAAUUGCUCUAAAUUUUAGUGUCAAAUUCUCUGCCGCUGUAACAUAUGAUAUCUUUGUCAGCUCAGGUACGCUCACAAGUACCAAACAAUAUGAAAAUCAACUUUGUAGCCUUAGCCGACCUUGGGAGAAGUCGCACUUUACCCACAACGACCGUGAGCUGAGGAGUUUAAUCCUCUUAACCUCUUGGGUCUGAUCACCAUGUAAAAUGUUAUAGUCUAGAUAAAAAAGUUUAGUGGUGUAUAAUACUAUUCAAAUUAUAAAGAUGUCACAACUAAAUAGUAAAAAAAAUUCAAAUAAAUUAAAAAAAGCUAAAUUACAAAAACCCUCUUAUAAAUAUCUAAUUUUUUAUUUUUUCUUUCUAACUUUCAAAAACUUAUAUUUUUCCUUCUCAACAUCUCAAGUUGUUACCGACCGUCCCUAGAGCAAGUGGCAAAGGACUUUGUGAUUGGUACCCGAGACUCAAGUUCGAAUCCUAGUUGAUUCAUAUUUCUAGCUAAGUUUAUUUCUAAAUGAAAUAAACGAAACGGGUAGCGUACUACCUAUCUCUCAAAAAAAAAAAAAAAAAAAAAAUCUCAAGUUGUUGCAUCUACCCCCUUCGUCAAGAUUUCAUCACUGUUCUAUCCAUUUCAUAUAAUUUAUACAGAAAAUCUGAUAUAAUAAGUAUUUGUUUUUUUUUUAUUUUUUGACUUUCAGAAAUUCAUAUUUUGGCUUCUUAAAAUUUUUAAAAUAUUUUCAGAAAAUUAUGAUCUGAAUGAAAAAGGUGAAAUGAUCAAAUUGUCCUUAUUUGUUCUAGAGUGAAAAAUUUUUAAUCUAUUUUUAUUAGUCUAAGAGAUAUUUUUUGUAUAAAUUAUAUGAAGUAGACGAAACAGUAAUGAAAUCCUGAAGGAAGUGGACUAAGUGCAUCAAUUUGAAUUUUUGAGGGAGUGAAACAUAGGAUUUUGAAAAUCGGGUGGCUAGGAGGAAGUGAAAAAAAAAGAUAUUUAGGAAGUUCUUUAUAUUUUAGCUUUAUUUUAGAUAGAAACUAGCUUUUCACCCGUGGGAUGCACGGCUAAUAUAAUAAUAUAAAAUAAUAAAAGUUAUUACGUGAUGAUAAAAAAAAUAUUCUAAUUAAUUUUAUAUNUUCUAAUUUUUUUUUUAAGGUUCGCUUCUCGAUCCUUCUCCCAAACCCUAAUACUCGUUUUUUUUCGAAUUAAACGCGAUUUUACUCCAUUUUUUGGGGGAUUUGAAUUUGUAGGCGGAGGCGAGAGAGAGAUGGAGAACUCGGCUUCGGAGAAGAGCAUCUUCAUCGAGAGCGACGACGAUGACCACGUGGCGGACGCGGAGGAGGGGACGGCGACGGCGGAGGAGGGCCGUGCGAUGGGGGACGGCGACGAAUCGGACGGCGAGGAUUCUUCUUCUUCGUCGUCGUCCUCGUCGUCGUCGUCGUCUCCGGCGGAGAGCCCCCGCCGGAGUAGGCCGAGCUCGUACACCUCGCACCAGUGGCCGCAGAGCUACAGGUACGCUCCGCCCCAUCUCGCCGCUCCGUUCCGAAUCCAACGGCUCUGAUUCGAUCUCGAUCUCCAUCGCGAGCGAGCGUGGCGAUUCGACGCCGUGCGCGUCGGAGUCGUUAUUGAAGUCGGUGGCUACGAUGGAUUCGGCGCCGAUUUUCUAUUUUGAGAAUAAUACAUCGCCGAUUUUGGACCCGUGUUUUACGGCGUAUUAAGUAAUUAUUUUUGCCCCCUCGUGGUUUCGCUGUUUACAGCUCAAGCUGACGUGGAAAAUCCUUAAUUUUAGCCAAUAUUAGAUGUUAUUUAAUUUAGUAUUUUCUUCGGUUACAAUUUACGUAAACUCCCUCAAGUACAUCCCUUUUUUAGAUAGGUCUCUCAGAUUUUUUUAAAAAAAAAAAAUCGGCGUUUGUUUAAUUAAAGUUUAAAAAAUUUCUAAAUUUAAUUAUAAUUGCUCUAUAUUUAUUUAUUUACUAAUUAAUUAAAAACAUUGAAGGUUAUUAAAUUUUGUAAAAUUAGGAAAGUUUAAAAUAUUUGAAAUAUAAAAUAAAAUAGAUUAAAAUUUAAGGAAUGUUAAUAAAAAGUAAGUUGAGAGGACAUUUCAAAUGGUUUUUUUUCCCUCUCUAAAAAGCAAGAGAUGGAAAUCCAAUCUCUUAUUAGUUGACAUUUCGAUAAAUAAUAGAAUAUAUAUAAUAUAUAUAUAUAUAUAUAUAUAUAUAUAUAUAUAUAUAUAUUACUAGUAAAAUGUACGUGCAAUAGCACGUAAUAAUAUUAGAAAAAGUUAUAAUUUUUUAAAAUUAUUUUUAAUUUAGGCCAUAUUUUAUAUGAUUGCCAAAUAUGUAUUUAAAAAAUUUAAAAUAAUAAAUCACGCUAUUAAAAAAAUAUGCUUUAAUGAUAAAUAAUUAAUAAUAAUCUCUAAUGCAAAAAUUACUUUUGAAAUUAAAUAGAAAAUAAAAUAUGUUAGAAAUAAAUUUUUGAAAUUAAUAGAAAAAUAAAAUCCGUUAUCUUAAAAAGAAAAUAUAUUUUGAAAUUAAAUAGAUAAAUCUAAAAAAGAUAUUUAAAAUAAAAUAAAAAAAUCUCUUUUAUAAGAUUUUCAUAUCCGUAAUCUGUUAUAGAAAACUUACUUUUGAAUUAAAUAGAAAAAUUAUAUUUUAAGAUUUUCACAUCAGUAAUCUGUUAUAGAGAACUUAUUUUUCCCGCCGAAAAAUGGCCCCUAAUUUUUCCGCCGAAAAAUGGGCUGUCGACAGACCCAAAUUUAUAUACGGCUUUUUAUAUAUAUAUAUAUAUUAUAUAUAUAUAUAUAUAUACUAUAUAAAUAUAAUAUAUAUAUAUAUAUAUAUUAUUUUCAUUUAUCCAAAUAUAUAUUUCUGAACCCUUCAGACCCAUACUUAAUCAAUUAUUAAAUAACAAUAAUUUCAGUUCCUGAUCUUUUUGCGAACAUUUGGCCUACCAUCGCACACAGAAAAAUUCUGUACACAAGCUUUCCCACAACCCAUAUGAGAUAGGCACAAUCUGAUCUGAACCGUCCUUUUUUUUUUUCUUAUCUCAAAUAAGCGGCGUGAUUGCCCCAUACGCUAGUUUUUCUUACAUACACUUUUAUAGAAAAAUCAAGCUCAAAAAUAAUUCAGAAUUAGUUUUAACAUUUGGAAUAUCAUUACCAACCGUCUCUAGAACAAGUGGCAAAAAAUUUGACGGUUGGUACCCGAGAUCCAAAGUUCGAAUCCUAGUUAAUUUACAUUUCCAGCUAAGAUUAUUUCUAAAUAAAAUAAAUGAAACGAGUAGUGUGCUACCUAUCUUUUUUAAAAAAAAAAAACAUUUGGAAUAUCAUUAUUGCUGGAUUUGUGAGUUUUAUAUA